CCCUCUGUCCCUCCCCUCUGUCCCUCCCCUCUGUCCCUCACUUCCUUUCCCUGAACUCCAAUUAAAAAUCAAGUUGUGAUUGAGCCUCUAACUACUGAACAAAAUGGAGAGACUUAAAUUGCUCCUUGCAUCUAUUAUUAUCUCCACUAAAGAGAAACAAACUCCCCGGCCGUGAUCUAUGGACAUUAAUUAACUCCGCUGUCACCCCUGGCCUCCCCUCUCUCCCCAAAAUUAAAUAUCGGGUUGUUAAUUUGACAGGUUUAGUUUAUCUUCUCUUUCCUCAGUCUCCGUCUCAGUAGAAAGCAGGCCAGACGUCUGCAGCUGCUCGCUUUCAUUCAUCUCCGCAGUCAUUUAUAUUUCCAUGGUUGACAACAACAUUUGAAAUCCCUCGUCUUUACAAUGAAACGUCGUCUACGUUGAGGUGGAACCAUGGAGAGAAAUUGUCCUCAAAAUUAACGUGUUAAUAAGGAACCGUACAGUCUUGUCAAUGAAGUAACACCUCUGCUGUGGUGAAAAACAGCAGCAGAGGUGUUAAUUCAAUGUUAAUUCAUUAAGUGAAUGCGAAUAGCAGUGAAUAACAACUUUCAGGACACAUUUUCCAAACGGCAAAAAAUAACAGACAGAGAUAUUAAUCAAGGAAGCGUUUCCUGCUGCUAUCUUAUCUGCUUCACACUCAAUCUCAGCCCUUUGACACCUCCGGCGCGGCCCGGGGUCGGGAUACGUUUUUCUCAUCUUGUUUUAGCAAAAGAAAAGCUGCUUUAUCGAUGAAACCGAGUGGACCCCUCGCUACGCCAAGCCAGGUUUUCACUCGCUGCAUUAAAGAGAGAAGAAUCACCAGUAUACAUUCGCUAAACCUUCAGGAGCUAGCUUAGCAUAGCUAGCUCCUGGUCCGUCUCAGCGUGCUGCUGGUUGCUCUGGAUAAGGGAAACGAUGGAGUCCAUCCACAUCGUUGUCAGACAUUAUUCGACCCCCCCUUUGGCCUUACUGGGCUCGAUUAACUCACGCACGCAGUACGUGCUGAACAUGUGAACAUGGGGACGAUUUUCGAACAAACUCCAUCCGUUCUCUCUCUUUUUAUCGUCGAAAAUAACACAACGUGCUACAAAGAUGCUGACGCUUCACUUGAUAAAACUGACAGGUUUCAUCUCGAGCCCCAACUCGCCUUGUUGAGAUCUGCUCUUCCUGCACAAAUGAAAAUCCUUACAGUACAUUUCUGUUUGCUGACAUUUUCCUCAGACUCCCUCUGAAAGUGAACACAGACACUCUUAUUCUGAGGUGUCAUCACCAAAAUCUAAUUUCAUUUGCCCCAAACUCCAAAGCUUCUUUAAUAUUCUUAUUUAUCUUCUGUUUUUUUAACAUGUUGAAGGAUGUCACGACUUUAAUUUUAUUAUCUAUAUUAGGUUUCUUUUCAUACGAAACAAGAGUACUACCCUGGGAUAUAUAUUUUUUCCAUUAUGACAUUCUUAACAUUUGGACUUUUUUGUCCAUGACAUUUUUCGACAUAACAUGUUUUCAAAACAUUUAAAAAAUAUAUGUGUAUUUUACCAAUAACAACCUAUACUAGUUUAAUUAACCACAUAGUUAAAACUUAUAACUAUGUUUUUAGAUACCUUUUUUGUCAUUGACCCAUACAUUUUAAAAGUUUCUCAGCAAAAAUACAAAAAAACGUUGAGACGCAUGACCAGAUCAUGUUCACUCAGAUUUUUUUUUACCAGUAUAGACCCAGUAAUCAAUGUUUGUUGGAGUAUUGUGGCUUGUGGCCCCUUAAGGAACGCGAGGCAGAGCUGCACUCAGCCAGCCAACGCGUCCUCACUGAAGCAAGUUAUGAGUUUUUGGCUGCAAUCGAUUAGAAUGAUGGAAAAGGUGGAUGAAAUGGGUCUAAGUUCUGAAAUGUGUCUCCUAAAAGGCACAGGGUGACCUCUACACACGGGCACCAGGUUUUCCUCGUGGCAGUAAACCUCCAUCUGUACCAACGUCCCGCGGGCGAUUGUUUGCGACGCCGCUGCCGAUCACCUCGGUCGCCCGCUCCCUCUCACUGUGACGUGAAUGAAACAGAAUCUCAUUCCUUCACGGGCCGGAUGCCAGCGGAUAGCCACCAAGUCGGUUCAGAGGCUGUGACAAAGCUUCUUGUUGCACAUCGGCUCGCAAAAAGGUCAAAAUUAUUUUAUGGCCAAUACCUUGACCGACUGUGAUCGCAUUAAAGAAGUCUCAUAUCAGCAGAGGUCGAAGCCUCAAACUCAUUUAAGCAUAAAAUCUGUUCAUCAGCACUUUAUGAUUCAAUUUAAAUAUAAAUAUGCUCCUUCAUUUGAUACCUUUCCACAAAUAGAGACAUAAACCAAUCAAGUUGACCUGAAACAGGACAACAGACCGUUCAUGUCUUUAAACUGAACAUAAUACAAUGUAGAUAAACCCGUCAGAGCAUCUGCUUUCCUUUCUUGGGUUAGGAUGGGGUUUGAAGGAUGGGGGUUAAAGGAUGUGGGUUGAAGGAUGGUGUUGAGGGAUGGGGACUGAAGGAUGGCAUUGAGGGAUGGGGUUGAAGGAUGGGGGUUGAAGGAUGGGGGUUGAAGGAUGGGGGUUGAAGGAUGGGGUUGACGGAUGGGGUUGAAGGAUGGGGGUUGAAGGAUGGGGGUUGAAAGAUGGGGUUGAAGGAUGGGGUUGAAGGAUGGGGGUUGAAGGAUGUGGGUUGAAGGAUGGAAGUUGAAGGAUGGGGUUGAGGGAUGGGGGUUGAAGGAUGGAAGUUGAAGGAUGGGCUUGAGGGAUGGGGGUUGAAGGAUGGGGUUGAAGGAUGAGGGGUGAAGGAUGGAGGUUGAAGGAUGGGGUUGAAGGAUGGGGUUGAGGGAUAGGGUUGAAGGAUGGGUUGAAGGAUGGGGUUGACGGAUGGGGUUGAGGGAUAGGGGUUGAAGGAUGGGGUUGAAGGAUGGGGUUGAGGGAUAGGGGUUGAAGGAUGGGGUUGAAGGAUGGGGGUUGAAGGAUGGGGUUGAGGGAUGGGGGUUGAAGGAUGGGGUUGAAGGAUCGGAUAGGACGAGGAUUUAAGCGAGCUUUCGUUCAGAGAACGGUGGACGUUCAAUAUAAGUAGCUGGUGUUAAGCAUAUUAAAGAUCCAUAUGAGGUCAAACUCAUGGAUGAGAUGAGACUCAAAGACUCACUCAUCGGUCAAAAGUUAUAAUCAAAGUGAUUUUUAUAGGGUUCUGCGAUGAAAGCUUGGAAUUUAAACACCCACACACGUUAUGCCUCAGAGCAGUGAUGAGAGCAAAUCAAUGUUGGAACAAAACACCUCUCAAACGCACAGAAAACCACAGCUUGAGAACCUGGAUCUCAAAUUCAAUCAUCAAAGGAAAUGGAGCUUGACAACAUAAUGGAAGGAACCGAAGGUGGUAAUUAUACAGUGAAAUUAUUUAAUGUGCCUCUCUAAGAAUCAUAUGCAGCAUUUGAGAGCACGGAUCCAAAAUGAUUGAAUUACCAACUUAUAAUUUCUCUGAUGAGUCAGUGGACGGAGGAAACUCUGUGCUGAAGAAGAAUAAUUUGAUGAUUUAAAGUAAUUGUCGGUUGAGCUCGUCAUCAUAAUUGCAGCCGUUGAGGAUUACAAGGACAAUAGUGUAGAUUAUGACACAUUGAUAAUGACAAAGAUUACCGUCAUCACGUCCUAUACAACAUUAAAAAAAGUGACACAAGAGAGCUAAAAUGAAAGAAUGAAGCGGUUCCUAUUGUCGGCGUGUGUGUGUGUGUGUAACUACAUCGGUUUAGAAAAAGUUACUCCUCAUUUGUUGAAGACCUUCAACGCGUUAAAUGGAUAAACGUCCGUCUUCAAGUUAUCUCAAUUACUGAGGUUUAGGAAACAGAAAGAAAGCCACCCUUGAUGUUCACGUAACACCUUCAAUGAAGCAAGUGUUGUUGCACGAGGGUGACAGGAAGUGAACCCCCAACAACUGUUCUGCUCCGUGUCUGAACCUCCAGUCCGAUCCGUCAGAAUAUGAAAACCGCCAAAGAGCAAAAACUAAAUGAAAAUGAUUGAUUCCUCUUUUUUUAAAUUACUUAAAUCAAUUUCUAUUGAACGACUUAAAACCCACGCGGGCUGACUCAGAGCUGUAGACAUUGAGGCAUAAUGAAUAAUAAAUGACAGGACGAGGGGAUAAUAAUAAAAUGUCAAAGGGAGAAUUCCUGUUGAUUCAGUGAGACCCGGCAGGAAGAAGAAAGGAGGCAGAAUGCGUUUAAAGUUAAUGCAAACGGUGUUGCACAGGAACAGAAGAACAGAGAAUCGCAAGAGAUGAAGGCAGAGAAGAACGACAAGUAAUGAAAAAGAAAGGGAAGGGAUUCACGCAGACGGACGCACCAGGAGAAAAGGCCAGAAGAAGAGAGGCGGCGAAGGCGCCUCGAGCCGGUGAUGCGGCGUCGAGCGCGAGUUCAAUCUCUGGCUGGCUGAGCGGCCGUGGGCCUCCUUCAAGCCGCCGCCGCCGCCUCGUCUCAGGCUCCACGCGCAGCUUUUGCUGGUGAAUAAACGGACACGCUGUCUUUUUUCUCACCGACAUCAACACCCAUGUAAAAAACACACGCACAGAAAGGCCGAUAAACAAACGUCCCGCGACUGUCCCCCGGCAAUGGAAAUGUCUUUUGACCUGGACGUUUGAUUCUGCGCACGGUGAGUCCGCUACUAGAAGCUUAUGAGGUAUAUUUGUGUCUUUACUUUAUUGCAUAAUAAAGACAAAUAUACCUUCAUAGUCUGUGGGCGCCGUCCCUCCAUCUUCUGCUUGAGCGGGUGGGAAAAUGUCUCCAAUGCUCUUCGUUUCUCCCGCUUCCUCUCCCCUCCCCCGUCCACCCUCCUUUAUCCCUCAUUCCCACCGAGGUGCUCCUUCCAUCUCACCCUCUCCCGACAAUAUGCUGGCUCAUCAGCAUUUAAAGGAGCAGGAACUCCAAACUGUGGAGGUGCUGUUUUAAAUGAUCCUUGUGGUAUUUUGACCAAAGCACGAAUGUCACUCAGGCUCCGUUGUUUACUUCUCUUGUGUUUUUUUUUCUCACUUUUAACAAUUUCAUCCGUCCCUUCCUUCCUCCAUCCAUAUUCAGGCAUCAUUUGAUUAAUAAACUGAUAUCAAAUAAAAGACAUGUUUUGGGAAGUAUAACGUUUGGUGGUCUGUGACAAUGACGGUUUGAUCCACUCAUGCAGAAAAGCGAAUGCGCCUGCAGGGAAAAGUAAGAGAGGACAGAAAGAAAGAGGAACAGAACACAUGAAAAAGAGGAGAUGAGAUGAGAUGAGAAUGAAACAGAAGAGAGCAACAGGAGCAUCGCUAACAGAUAUUAUCUGUAUACAUUAUGAAACUCUUUUUAUUCUUUUACCUCACACAGAAAAAAAGACAACAUUACUGUUGACGUUGUAACACACACACACACACACACACACACACACACACACACGCACCGCACAUGCACGCGCGUUCAGGUGUUUUCAACCUGCCUUUUAUUCUUUUGCAGGCAGAAAUAGUAAAAGCUUUUACAUUUCAAUCUGAUUGAAGGUCAAAAUCACACAACCACCCCCCCCCCCCCAAAAAAAAAUAUCCCAUUUCUCUUUUUGAUGUUUGUACAGAAGCUCACAGCAAUAAUUUAAAAAAGUAUAAAUACAUGCAAAGGCGUCCCUGUGUGAGUGUGACGGCCCUGUUUAAGAGAUGACAGCUGCCGCUGUGCACCGGUCUGCUGCGUAAAAGUUGUGACUUUCAAAUGUUAUGUGGUGACUUCUGUUCAUCCAAAGCUAAAUAAAUGAAUACAUUGAAGUACUAGCCCUCUAAAAUGCAGCAUAUUAACAAGGGUCAAUGUAAUUUAACAUGAAAAUGAUAAUUGACCUAUGUUGAAGUCUCUCAGUAACAAUAAUCCUAAAUGAGAUAAAAGCUUUAAAUGUUUUAUAUUCUGGCAGAGUGGCUCCUUAAUGGAAAUGUUUUAUGUCAUUGAUGAGCGCUGACUGAGAUGCAUAUCCGAUGGAUAUCACAAUAACGCGCCUGUGAGAGCGCAACCAGCUGUCUCAGCAGAAGACACAUUUGAGAAAGCAGAUGAGAUGUCUCCUGAGUGACCCAAGACUUCACUGCUGAAGGGAUCAGCGGUAAUAAAGCUUUCAGCCACGUCUUCGUUAUCACGUUGCGACCCGAAGCUGAUGUUGGACUUGUUAGUUGUUGGACGUCCCCGAACAAAGACGCCCGACCACCAGGCAUCUGAGAUUCCGUCCUCGUCGUUGGGUUUUCAUUUGGCAAGGUGUGGGACUAUUGGAGUGGUAUUUUCGUCAUUUCUCUGUUUUGUUGUGAAUGCACACGUGUGUGUACGUUGUGAAGAGGCUCUUUUUGGAAACAGCUUGAUUGUCGGCUGUAAUUAUGUGUGCGAAUGUGCAUGUUAAGCACAGCUGCAGCAUUUACCAAAAGUCUAUUAAACAGCCAGAUGGCCGCUGCUUGUAACGCCCACAAAACAUUUUCCUGCCACGCGCAACGUAAAAAAUCAAACACACCACAGUUUUCGCACACACUCUCGACUCUGUGAAGUGUGUGUUUGGUGUUUACCGGAGGUCAACGAUCCACCCGCAGCAGCAAUUUACAUCUCUUAUCAGUUUGGCUUCUUUCUUUCUUGUUUGAAUUUGCUCCUCAGGGUUUUAUUCUCACUUUUUUGUCACUGACUCACUGAAAGGCGCCGACACACAAACCCACACACACACGCACACACAACGAGGUAGCGAAGCUGCACCCUGUGCACCACGCACGCUUUUAAAAUGACCAGCAGAACAUAACAAAUGGUAUUUCAUCACGUGUCCGGCACCACCUACUGCGCAUUUUAUCAUUAAGGAUUAUUAAGGGCGACCUGAAUAACGUUCAGAUGUUCUUGGCAAAUCUCGUAUCACUAAACAGGUCAAAUCAAACAGAAACAGGACAACAAUGAUCAUAUUCCUCCAAGCCCACUGCGUGUUUCGGUGCACUAUCCAGAUAACGGUGUCUUCGGAGGGGGUGGGGGGUGCGGGAUUCGUCACUUUCUUUGGCCGAUUUGGAACGACACCUUGAGCAGUGAGAUAUUUGGAUUGAAAAUUGGAAACAUGACCUUUUGAAGGGGUCUGAAUGCUGAAUCACAACGUGUGAUAUUUGUUUCUUCGCCGGCACGCGGCCGAGUGAAUCUUGAUGAAUAUCAUUUCUUCGGGGGGGUUUUUAAGGUCAUGAAUUGUUUGAGUGUUACUUCAUCUGUCAGACAGGACUGUGGCGCCUCGGACGAUCGGAUCAGCGGGAACGUUCCGCGCAUGCCGCGAUGCGUCGAUUGGCCCCCGAUGCUCUCAAAUCUCUGUGAAAGGCGCCUCCUUCGAGCCGUCUCUGAGGCACAGACGCUCACCUGCUGCAUGCAUCCAAAACCAGAGAGCGCCUCGCUGAGCCUCGCCGAGCCUCGCCGAGCCUCGCCGUUCAGCGCUUUUGUAGCAAUACACAUUUGGCGCCCCGGACGGCGGUAAUUGACAACAGACCAAAGCACAUUUUCAGCCUAAAUGUGCUAAAAAAAAAAAAAGGCACUUUUCCAAAUGGAGCUCUGUAUUGGUGUAAACACUUUUACCUCACGUGUACCGGCAGGUAUAAACAUGCACACAAAACACACACCAACACACUUAUUUUACACCAUAAACUCUCCCAGAAAAUCGCGCACUGUAAAUACGUCAUACGUAAAAACACUUCACUGCAGAGAGGAAUUGCCCAGAUUUGUAGAGAAGAACAUUUUUAUUAUCUGACAUUUUUGUUGUGAUAUUUCAGUGUGAAUACUCCCCGGUGACCUCUUCUGACCUUUCCCAACAAUGCUGGAAGUUCUUCUGAUGCAGGUGAUACGUUACGAUCCUCCAGUAUUUGCUCCGUGAGUGCUGUCUGAAUAAGUUCUGUUCAUCCAGUGAGAUCUAGGUGGACUUCAGGCCACAUGGAGCUGAAGACAACAAUACAAGAAGUUACCACAUUGAUGAUUCCAAAGCACCCUUUGUGACUACGCAGCUUUAAAUCUGCUAAUAAAAAGCGGUGUCAUUUUAAUCUAAAACAAAGUCGGGUAUAUCUGUCAGCGGAGCGAGUCAACGCAAAACAAAACUAGGUUAGUCUUUGAGAAGUAAAGUGAGAAGCAGAGAGUCAGACGAAGUUAUCUCUAAGCUUUACGCCUGUUGACUUGACUGAUCUCUCGGUUAUGGAGCUGGCAGAUUGAGGUCUGUGUGUGUGUGAAUGUUCUCAACACAUCUCUGAGUCAUGGAUAUCGUAUGAGUCCUGAAGCUAUGGAGAGAUCAGAGACAGAUGGGCGGCACGCAGUCAGCACCGGCCCCGACAACACCUCGGCUUCUGUAUACUGUUGAUUCUGGCGACGAUCAAUCCGAAGAACCACGGGACGCUUUUUCCCGCCAGCUAAAAACCUGCCGCCGCUCUUCUUCAGACGGAAACACACGCUGCAAGUGUCAGACGCACACAAUCCAAAAAUAAAAUCUACCGCGUUAAGCUCAGAAACUGCAAUGUUACAAAUUCUAACGGUGUUUCUAUCUCUGAUGGAAGCUUAUGACUUACGGCUGAAAUGCACAUGUUGCCUGUAGUAAUAAUAGUGGUCUGAAUAGUCCUUUCAGUAGAUGAGUGUCCCAGCCGCAGACUGUGCAUAAGACGUGUUCAGACUGUGCAUAAGACGUGUUCAGACUGUGUAUAAGACGUGUUCAGUCUGUGUUUAAGACGUGUUCAGACUGUGUAUAAGACGUGUUCAGACUGUGUAUAAGACGUGUUCAGACUGUGUAUAAGACGUGUUCAGUCUGUGUUUAAGACGUGUUCAGACUGUGUAUAAGACGUGUUCAGACUGUGUUUAAGACGUGUUCAGUCUGUGUAUCAGACGUGUUCUGUCAUGAGUCAUCAAGUUACCCUACUUCUUUUAUAGCGUCAGCGACCUGUCAAUCACAGUCAAGCCCCGCCCUAAAGCAUACCCAAGAUUAUGGGCUAUUUGACUACUUUAUGCUGUAUUGAAGAAAACUGGAAACUUAACUGAGGUAAUAAACUGAGAGGGAAGUAGAGUAAUUUCUCACAUACAUGCAGAAUACAACAUGGAUGCAUCAUGAGGAUUAUUAAAGAUUAUAAAAGGCUGUUUUAAAGAGUUGAGGAUAACACAGGCAGUCAAUGUCGAGAGACAAGGGGAUGAAACAAUAAUAGAAAACUUUGUAAAGAAAGUUACAGAUUAAUUAAUAGUGUUUUGGGCUCAACUAAGCAAAGCUAAUGGAAACGAUUCCCGUCUUCUUUCUCUCCCACUCUCUUUCGUCUCUCUCCACCCUCUCGCCUCCCUUCUCCCUCCCCCCCUCCUUCCCCUUAUCCUCGUGUCUUCACACAUUCACUUUAAUACGUUCCCCAUCUCUCCCCGUCCAUUUCCUCUCAGCCUUUCUGUCUCCCCCUUUGGCCUCCUUCCCUCCCCUCUUUCCUUCCUUCUCUCCCAUUAGAAACAUAUUGGAGUGACACGGACCAUGAAAUUAAAAUAUUAGUGAGUGACAUCACUGAAUAUUUCCAAUUCUCUGGAAAGAAGGAAUACAUAAAAUAUCGUAUUAAGUGUCGUUAUAGGAAAAGGUCAGCUAGAGGGCAAUGAAAGACUUAAGUAAGAUCAAUAAAGUGUUACAACCUCUUUUUAAUGAAGAAUCUCUGCAAUUGUAGAACUGAACGAUCUUUUAACAAACAUUUUUUCUUUUGAAACAGAACUUUCUUAUUUGUCCACAAGUAUCCAUAUUUCAAGGCUCAACACAUGAAACAACUAAUCUUUGUAGUACUUAUCAGUAAUUCACUUUUACUCCAUUUUCUUCUCAUGUAUUUUAAAGUACCUUUUUUCUACAAUCUGAUGCAAUCCUCAUAGGUUUUUUUCUGCCGUUUUUGUUUGUCUUCUUUGUUUCAUAUUUCCCCUCCAGUGACUAAAAGGGUGUCUUCACCUCAGAGGUAAUUUAAAAAAAUCAAAAACCGUAAAAACGAGUUAAUUAGAUGCGCCUGUGUUCCAUGGGGGUCUUUAAAUCUACAAGUGACCACACCCAAAGGAAACCCUGGACCUCUGCUUCAGCUCAAAGAACUGGUUUCUUUUAUUCAAGUGUGUGUGUGUGUGUGUGUGUGUGUGUCUUUACAGGGUUUUCAUGUGUGGUUGCUUUAGAUGUACGACCAUAAAAAAGGUCAGGACUUCCAUCAAGUUUAUCAUCCAUUCAUUUCCCGGCUGUAAGAUCACCAAAGCGAAUGAAAGAGGCGCAAACAGGAAAUACCGAAGAAAGAAAUACGGGCGGGAAAGAGAAGGAAAUAAAAACAUCAGGAGUGAGAUGGACUUCUCAAGGUCUUCUCUGCAGACUCCCCCCUCAGGGGGAACCGGCCAACACAUGGAAAAUGUUUCUCUGCCUCUCUCCUCCGAGAUAAACCUCCAUCUUCGCCGGUCCUCCUUCACGGACUGAAGUUCUGCUCGAGGCCGUCGCUUAUUAAGCGCAGGCUCGUUGAGUGGAACCAAUCCCGAGACUGAUAUUUGAAUAAUGAUAAUAGCAAAGACCCUUUUUCUACAGAGCACCUUUCACGAAGAAUAAAAAUAUUGGGAGAUCAGGCAGACAAAGUCGAGGGACCAAUUUGAUUCCAACAACGAUUCCACAAAUUCAAUGGCAAUCCGGCUAGGAGUUAAUAAAAUGUUAAGUCCACUCUAAAAGACUAAUAUCACUGUAUCUGUGCAGAAUUGUCAUUGUAGAAAAAUCAGUUUUGAACAUUUGUGAAAUAUUAUUUUAUGUGAAGCCCUCUGCUGUCUUUGGUUGUUUUAAAGGCCAUUGAAGGGGAUUUAGGGAUCAUAUCAUGUUAUUGACUAUAUUUCUAUAUUUCCAAUAGUGCACAAUCACCUGACUCUUUGGUGUUUUCAUCCUCUUCCAUUGAGCCAUAUUGAUAGAUUACAGCGCCAUGUUCCUACGGCAGCCCAGAAUGGACAAACAAAACAUUUUACUUCAUACUUUGAAUGGGUGCAGUUCUCUGAGAGUAAGGGUCGGAUUCUACGUGAAUUAUCACCAAUUGGAUAUUUAAGCGUUCAAUCCAAAAUAGAGUUGAGUUUUUGUAACAUGAACCUUUCAGAAUAAAAGGUGUAACCUUUGAAAUGGUGGUUAGCACUGCCAGUGUCUCAGAAGAUGAAUGACCUUUUGAAAGAGCCAGGUAUUCUAUCAUCAUCAUCAUCAACCAAUCCAGCUCUUGUUAGCGAAUUACACACCAAAAAAUUGCUCUUUCAGUUGGCCGGAGACGAGCAAAGGGCCUCUGCUCUGCUAAUUAUGUGACGGGAGACAAGAACCCAGCGGCGGUGAAAGUGAAAAUUGGCUCCGCGCUGCGCGUCAGACCUCCGGCUGGGUCUAAUUCAUGGUCGGGCGAUAUCGGUGAUGAGAUGGUUACAUAUGUUACACGGAGCCACGUUCCUUUGGACUAUGCUUUGGACUUAAUUGUCAAGCUUAUAUCUUUCUACACCGAUGUAAAGUCAAAACUGGUAACUGCUUUUUAAUAGCGCUUCCAGUUCACUCAUUUUAGCAUUUUGUAAAGACAUUGUACACAAGAAAAACCUCUUGUACCUUCUGCGUUUAUGUGACAGACCUGAACAAUGAAUAUGUCCGGAUAAUUCAGUGACCACACCCAAAGGAAACCCUGGACCUCUGCUUCAGCUUAAAGGACUGGUUUCUUUUAUUCAAGUGUGUGUGUGUGUGUGUGUGUGUGUGUGUGUGUGGUCUUCAUGUGUGGUUGCUUUAGAUGUACGACCAUAAAAAAAGGUCAGGACUUCCAUCAAGUUUAUCAUCCAUUCCUUUCCCGGCUGUAAGAUCACCAAAGCGAAUGAAAGAGUCCAUCUCACCCGGAGUGAGAUGGACUUCUCGAGGUCUUCUCUGCAGACUCCCCCCUCAGGGGGAACCGGGCAACACAUGGAAAAUGUUUCUCUCCCUCUCUCCUCCGAGAUAAACCUCCAUCUUCGCCGGUCCUCCUUCACGGACUGAAGUUCUGCUCGAGGCCGGCGCUUAUUAAGCCGCAGGUUCGUUGAGUGGAACCAAUCCGAGACUGAUAUUUGAAUAAUGAUAAUAGCAAAGACCCUUUUUCUACAGAGCACCUUUCACGAAGAAUAAAAAUAUUGAAGUCGAGGGACCAAUUUGAUUCCAACAAAAAAAAUUUCCAUCUUCUGAGGACAACGAUUCCACAAAUUGACAAAUUGAAUGGCAAUCUGGCUAGGAGUUAAAGUGAAAAUUGGAAAUUAUUUUGGUCUUAAGUUAUUUUUCUAUUCCUUAAGUCAUUGUAUUGGUGUUCAUAUUUAGCCUAAUAGAGCCUUUUUGUUUUUACUGCAUUGUUCACAUCAACAUCUCCCUGUUUGUGAAACCCUUCUUUUAUGUCUUACUCCUUAACCCCCGUUUUUCCUCCCCGUGACUCUCCACCCCUUCUGCACAGUGUCCCUGCUCCUCCCUCCCUCCCUCCCUCUCCUCCCCCACUCACCGUUGUCUCAUUUAUUGUCCUUUUAACCCUGAUGGACGCCGUAUGUCGUCGACUCCAUACGUGGGCGGCGCUAUCUGCCUGGCGUCCAUGCGGCCAAUUAGAAAUGGCAGAUGAGUCGAUGAGUCUGUCCUAUGGAGACUGCGGUCGCCCCGGCAACUAUCGCCGCGGCCGACCUCGUCGGGAUACACGCCCCAGCCCAUCGUCUCCUCUCACAUUCAUCGGGGAUCCAGUUAAUGUCAAAGCAGCGCACGAUUGCUCCCGAUCCGCUCCUUCUGUUCAAGCACUCAGAAGUCAUGUCAAGUCCCACCCGCGCUGCGCCGGAGCCAUUGUGUGCAUAACUUCCCUCCAUUUAGUUAUUCCCUUUGUCCCAGCUGGUGAAUAAGCUCCCUUGAUGCAACCCGGACCUGCACCUGCCCUUCUUGUCUUUGUCUUCCUUGUACUCUACUCAAGUACUCUGUUUUGUUCCCCCCUAAUGUCUCCUCAUAAAGCGUGUUUCCCAAACCACUUAACCGACUUAAACUUUUCAUCUUCAGCUUCGAAGGUUGUUUGAGGCAAAUGCAUGCGUUUACAUGUCAACGUUCCCUUUGAGUAUAGCGAUACUCUUUGCACAUGCAUGCGUGCACAUGGAUGUGUGCACACGCGUGUUGCACCGGCUUCGACUCACGGCAUCCCCGAUUCUCUCACUACCACUCAUUAAGGCGGCUGUUCUCUGUGCGAUGCGCUGUGGCUGAUAGACAAUGAAAGGAUGACGUCCUAACAGCGAGACAAACAAAUAAAAAAGAAAAACCACCACUAUGCGCGUGCAACACGCGCUCUUUCAUAUAGUGUAACGCCGAUGAAUGUUGGCAAAGCACUGACAUCACGGUUGAAAGAAGAACCACAGCAUUCUGUCACUGUAGUAUGACGGACACGUUGGUCCGCCUUUGCUUCUGUGAGUCAUUGUACGUACGAAUUCAAAAGAGCUCUAAUCUAAUCAAUAGAGUCAUUUUUAUUAACAAGCUUCUUACAUCAGCCAGAUGAAAAACUCAUCUGGUUGCGAAAUGAAGUCUGAUUGAAUGGAAGUCUGUGAAGCGCGGCGGGUCCUAUUUCUGAAUCAAAGAAAUCAUAAAGCAGGGUACGCUUUUGGGCGGGUCCAGCGCGUGAUUGACAGGACGCCGCAGAAAA
ensembl:lncRNA